GGAGGUGGAGCUACGGGGAUUGCAGGGGCCACUGAAGGUGGUGCCGGGGCUGGCACUGAUUCGGUAGUUGGAGGAGUUGCAGCUGAUGUAACUCUGAUAGGUGUUUAUUGAGGUCUAUCCCUGAUCCUAUUCUAUCGGUGAAUCAAGGGCUGUUCAUCUUCCGGCUCAGAAUUUUUUUUCUCAAUAGCUGACCUUUUUCUAGCGAUAUGCUUAUUUCGUUUGCCUUUAUCUCCCGGUGGGAGAUCUUGCUUUCUUUUCUGUGAAGGACGUGAUCCUUCUUCAUUGAUCGUAAUUCCCUUUGCCUUUUUCUGAG
rnacentral:lncRNA from 1 species